UGUGGCAACAUCUUCUCGCUCGGAUAAGGGGAAGUCCUCACGAAUGGAUGAGUCGUUGGUGGCAAGCUUGGCUGAGGGCGCGCUAUCUUCUACGAUUGUCGACGAGGUAGUUUUUCUUUUUGCUUCAUUCCUAUUUCCACCUUGUUCGUUGUAGUGAGGAUUUUUAAUAUUGGCAGUCUUCUUUGCAGGAUGCUGACAGGAUUGUGCGUUCUAUCCAAGACUUGUUCGCUUCCUGGGGGCAGGUCCAAAUGCCUCGCCCUGCUCCAUCUGAUUGUCCUGCUGCUUCUUCAGAAGAAGAUCUGAAGUUCUUGAAGGAGUCGGUAUUUGAGUACGUAUCCUUCAUGGAUAUGGACAUUGGAAGGGCUAGUGCUGCCAGACACAAGGAUAAGCUUGAGCACUUGAGUGCGAAGUUGGAGCAAGCACUGACGCUUCCGUCGCUCAAUCUUUCUGCCAACUUUAAAGCGACGUUGAAGGUCAUUCACUCCGAGGUCCUUUCUAUGCUGGCCAAGAAUGCUGAACUAAAGGCCAAGCGUACUCAAUAUCUUCGAGCCGUAGCUGAGAAAGAGUCUUUGCGCAUGGAGAUCAACAAGGCUAAGGACGAGUUGAAAGAAAUCUCUUCCGAAGUCAUGAUUGAAGACUCUUUGAUGGUUAACUUGGCUGCUCAGAUGAGAGAACUUCAAGCUAAGAUGGACGAUUGCAGGGCGAGGAUGGCUGCUAAAAAGCGCAACGCCUCCCAGGGAAUUGAGCGAACUAAGUCCUUGGUCGAGCAGUACAAGAAAUUGGAAGUUGAUGAUGAUGACGUCGCG
rnacentral:lncRNA from 1 species